GAACGGGUGAGUAACACGUGGGCAAUCUGCCCUUCACUCUGGGACAAGCCCUGGAAACGGGGUCUAAUACCGGAUAANACUCCUGCCUGCAUGGGCGGGGGUUGAAAGCUCCGGCGGUGAAGGAUGAGCCCGCGGCCUAUCAGCUUGUUGGUGGGGUAAUGGCCCACCAAGGCGACGACGGGUAGCCGGCCUGAGAGGGCGACCGGCCACACUGGGACUGAGACACGGCCCAGACUCCUACGGGAGGCAGCAGUGGGGAAUAUUGCACAAUGGGCGAAAGCCUGAUGCAGCGACGCCGCGUGAGGGAUGACGGCCUUCGGGUUGUAAACCUCUUUCAGCAGGGAAGAAGCGAAAGUGACGGUACCUGCAGAAGAAGCGCCGGCUAACUACGUGCCAGCAGCCGCGGUAAUACGUAGGGCGCAAGCGUUGUCCGGAAUUAUUGGGCGUAAAGAGCUCGUAGGCGGCUUGUCACGUCGGAUGUGAAAGCCCGAGGCUUAACCUCGGGUCUGCAUUCGAUACGGGCUAGCUAGAGUGUGGUAGGGGAGAUCGGAAUUCCUGGUGUAGCGGUGAAAUGCCCAGAUAUCAAGAGGAACACCGGUGGCGAAGGCNGAUCUCUGGGCCAUUACUGACGCUGANGAGCGAAA
rnacentral:rRNA from 1 species